rnacentral:lncRNA from 1 species
AAAGGGUUCUUUCUGCUCAAGCCAGCUGUCCUUGCUGUGGGGGACCAGGCAGAUAUUCCAGGGUUUUGGUGAUGGGGAGGCAUCCUGGAGCUGGAGCUAUAAAUUCCCCCUAGUCACCGCCAAAGGCCCGGCGGCCACAGAUGGACCUCAUCUCUGAGCUGAAACGGAGGCAGCAGAAGGAGCCACUCAUUUAUGAGAGCGACCGUGACGGGGCCAUUGAAGACAUCAUCACAGAUCUGCGGAACCAGCCCUACAUCCGCGCAGACACAGGCCGCCGCAGUGCCCGUCGGCGUCCCCCGGGCCCCCCACUGCAGGUCACCUCCGACCUCUCGCUGUAGCCGCUAUUUCUGCAGGUGGAUUCUGCAGGGGUGUGGGGCCGUGGACAGGCUGAGGCUCAAGGAAGGUGGUCCUCAGCUCGGCUGGCCGGGCAGCCCCUCCUCCGCUGUGGCCCGCCUCAAACGGGCUGGUGCAUCCUCCUCUUGGCCACAGAGGGCAGCAUCGCCCGCCCCUUCCCCCAAAUGCUGCUUGCAGCACCCACCCUAAAGCCCCCUCCAAAU